GAAGAACCUGUAAGACAGAAACUGUGUCUCAGUUAAGGGGCUACAUCCUAACGAAGGCUGCAUUUGAAGACCGAAUGCGUCACAGCGGCGCGGCCAAGGCUGUCUCAUUUAGAAGGCUCCUCCAAAUGCAGCCGAGAAAUGUGACCUUCUCUUCUCGGAUGGAUGGAUCCUUCACUGUCAAACCUAUCCCAGAAUGCAUCUCGCACCAACCGGCAGAAGCGAUGGUGGAGAUUUCGAGCCAGGCUAAACUGUUGUGAUUUUCGCUGUAGGACUGUUAACGUGUCACUUUCUUAAGUUUUAAGAUUUUUUCAGAUCAGAAAAGGCAUCGUAUUGUUCCUUUGGAGGAAGAAUAUAAAGGAAAGAAGGCUGAGCUGGGAAAGACAGAGACUGAAGUUCAGCGGAUGAUGAUGAUGAUGAUGAACUGUAGAGAGAUGAAGGGAUAUCUAACCACGAGACACCACCGUUAAUCACAUUUUAUAUUACAGGUGAAAAUAAGUUUUACUUUGUAAUCUCAGUCUGAAAUAUAAUCUGUCCACCUUGUGGUAAAGUCACCAUAAUCACCUGUAAACUGCAAGGAUGCUACAAAACAUAACUGGCUGACCUGCAGGAAGAGGUGGAUGAAUACUGGGAAGAGAGGAGGUUUCACAGUUAGCCUACAUGUUUUACAGUAAAUGAAACUGAAAGUAACUCAAGGAAACAGUGCAGCAGCAGUGAAGACAGGUGUCAUUCUCAACAACAGACAACUGUGACUUCAAGCCUUCAGGUCAAAAAUACAACAGACCCUCUGCACAUCCGACAUGGCAGCAGCCAGCAGUCUCCUCUCUGAAGAUCAGUUUCUGUGUUCCAUCUGUCUGGAUGUGUUCGCUGAUCCUGUCACCAUCCCAUGUGGACACAACUUCUGCAAGACCUGCAUCACAAAACACUGGGAUACUAAUGUCCAGUGUCAAUGUCCCAUGUGUAAAGAGCUUUUUGACAAAAGGCCUAAACUGAGGGUCAACACUUUCAUAUCUGAGAUGGCUGCUCAGUUCAGACAGUCAGUUCAAAAGAAAACCAGCAGCAGCUCAGAACAACAAGAAGAAAAGGUAGAAGAAGUUCUCUGUGACGUCUGUACUGAAACCAAAGUGAAGGCUUUGAAGUCCUGCCUGGUGUGUCUGACUUCAUACUGUGAGACUCACCUGGAGCUUCACCAGAAAAUCACAGUUAUGACAAGACAUAAGCUGAUUGAUCCUGUGAAGAACCUAAAAGACAGAAUGUGUAAGAAGCAUGAUCGACCUCUGGAGCUGUUCUGCAAGACUGACCAGAUGUGUGUGUGUCAGUCCUGUGCUGAGUCAGAUCACAAGCUUCAUCACAUCGUUCCUAUGAUAGAAGAAUAUGAAGGGAAGAAGGCUGAGCUGGGAAAGACAGAGACUGAUGUUCAGCAGAUGAUUGAAGAGAGACGACUGAAGAUUCAGCAGAUCGAACAGUCAGUAAAGUUCAGCAAGGAAGAUGCAGACAGAGAGACAGCAGCCAGUGUGCAGGUCUUCACUGAUCUGAUCCAGUCUGUUGAGAGAAGUCUGGCUCAGCUCAUUGACAUGAUCGAGGAGAAGCAGAAAACAACAGAGAAACAGGCUGAAGGUUUCAUCAAAGAGCUGGAAGAGGAAAUCUCUGAGCUGAUGAAGAGAUGUACUGACGUGGAGCAGCUCUCACGCACUGAAGACCACCUCCAGUUCCUCCAAAGCUUCUCAUCCCUGAACUCUGCUCCACCCACCAAAGACUGGACAGACGUCAGAGUUCAGUCAUCAUAUGAGGAGCCUGUGAGGAGAGCUGUGGCUCAGCUGGAGGAGACACUCAUUCAAGGGAUUGAAAACCUGUGUGCCGCUGUUGAGCUGAAGAGGGUCCAGCAGUUUGCAGUGGAUGUUACACUGGAUCCUGAUACAGCACAUCCUCAUCUCAUCCUGUCUGAUGAUGGGAAACAAGUCAGUCAUGGUGAUGUAAAACAGAAUCUUCCAGACAACCCAGAAAGAUUUUUUCCUUGUUGUGCUGUCUUAGGAAAGCAAAGUUUUUCUUCAGGCAGAUUCUACUAUGAGGUUCAGGUUAAAGAGAAGACUGAUUGGACUUUAGGAGUGGUUAGAGGGUCAAUUAACAGGAAGGGGAAAAUCGAACUGUUCCCCACAAAUGGCUGUUGGACUAUAUGUCUGAGAAAUGGAUGUAACUAUAAAGCUUUUGAUGACACCCGUGUUCCUCUGUCUCUGAGGUCGACUCCUGAGAAGGUGGGGGUGUUUGUGGAUUAUGAGGAGGGUCUGGUCUCUUUUUACGAUGCUGAUGCUGCAGAUCGUAUCUACUCCUUUACUGGCUGUAACUUAACAGAAAAACUCUACAUGAUCUUUGGUCCUCGUGCUAAUAAUGGUGGUAAAAACUCUGCCCCUCUCAUCAUCUCUCCUGUCAAUCACACUGAUUAGACUAGACGAGGCAAGUUAAUUUGUACUGCACUUUUCAAUAACAAUGCAAUUUAAAGUGCUUUACGUGAGACAUAAAAAGGCAUUAGACUAAUCAUUUCAUUUUCAAAAAAGAUUCACUGUCAUUCUGAUUAGCCUGGUUAUUGCUUUCUAUGUUAGGUACAAUUAUUUAUGUUGCUACAAGUCUAUAUUUAGGAAAGUUGUCUGCAACAAUGUAAAAUCACUGUUAAUUAUGAAAGCAACAAAUAAAAAAGCUUUCAUAUGACUUUAAAUAUUGGUAACACAUUUUAUGAUUGAUUAAUAAUUCUGAAAUCUAAAUGUUUCUUAUUGAAAUUGUUUCUGAAAACAAAUCAAAUCAAAUGGGGAAAACAUUUUUGGUUGUAUGUCUGAAAAGUGUUUUUAUUCCUAUGAGGUCAUCAAACAUUUGAGCACAGAACAUAUAGACUUUAGGCUACUUGGUACUUCUUCUCCACUACAUUUCAGAGGCAAAUAUCGGACAUUUUACUCCACUACAAAGUAGAGCAAAGUAACUAAUAACUGGUGUUAUUAUUUACUUUGCUGAUUAAGAGUUUACCUACAUGCAUUGUUAUAGAUUAAACAACUCAGUGGUAUACAAAUGCAAAAUGGCGGCGUGCACAGAGGCAGCGGCUUUGUUCUCCUCUUACCAGUGCUGACAUGCUGCCAUCAUUGGACAUGUGCAGUAUGUAUUUAUUUACAUGUCACUUAAAGCCACUGACCAUGUGCAGUAUUUCUAUAACAAUCACACGUCAUUCAACACCCCAACACACCAUCACUCCACAUCUAUACACCACACCUUUACUGUACUUUUGCUGCUGAUGCUUUUGCAUCUCGUUAAUUGUAUUUCUGUUGUAUUUUAUCAUUAAUUGCUUUUUUAUUCUUUGUAAUGCUUAUAUUUUGUACUUAUAUUGCUUAGGUUCUGUACUUUAUAUCACUGACAUUUUUAUAUUUCUGUCUUAUUUAUUCUUUGUAAAUAUAUGUGAAGUAAAUAUGUGUGAAGUCUUAAAUACAAAUGCACCAUUCGAGGUUGAUGCAAUUGCAAUUUUGUUGUGCUUGUGUAAUGACAAUAAAGUUCUUGAAUCUUGAAUCAAAGAGUUCAAAUUAGCUGUAACUUGACAUGCUACAACAUUAAAAUGUUGCUCACAUGUUAAUGCAUCAAUGCACCAAUAAUCACUCUGAAAGUGGCCAUUCAGCAAUCUGGACGCUUCCUCCACCACUGGCUAUUAAUGGCAUGAGCUGAAGCCUCCAUCAUGGCCACCAGAGGGCAUGAUAGACCUGGAAAUCCCCACUAUAGGAUCUGGUGAACUACUGGCAACAGAGAUGUUCUGCAUUAGCUGCAGUUUGCUAGUAGAGAGCAGCUCCUCUGUUCUUCUGUCUGGAUGAGCUCAGCAACUCAUACAACUUCAGACAGAGACCACACAGCACUGUCAGAAAAAAUCUGAGAAGUCACACAUGCAGCACUGGGUAACCAUACACUGUAAAGAUUCUCAGUGACACUGAUUUCCAUCUUGAAUUUACUCCUAAAAGACCAUACUGGUGAUUCUGCAGUUCUGCUACUGUGCAAAUGAUUAUUCUACAUUCCUGCUAACUGCUUUUGCAAGUCAUGCUGCAGUGCUUCAUAUUUUGAAUAUAUUUUCCCUACUUUCCAGGCAGCUGUUGGUUUCCAUUCAUUUAUUCUGUGGUAUUUAAUUAAACUUUC